GAGGGUAUAGCUCAAGUGGUAGAGUGCAUGCUUAGCAUGCACAAGGUCCUGAGUUCAAUCCCCAGUACCUCCU
rnacentral:tRNA from 1 species